rnacentral:rRNA from 1 species
GACGGAGGGUGCAAGCGUUGCUCGGAAUCACUGGGUGUAAAGGGUGCGUAGGCGGUCUCGCAAGUCUGGCGUGAAAGUCUAAGGUUCAGCCUUGGAAGUGUGUUUGAAACGGUGAGGUUGGAGUGCCGGAGGGGAGAGUGGAAUUCCCGGUGUAGCGGUGAAAUGCGUAGAGAUCGGGAGGAAUACCGGUGGCGAAGGCGGGUCUCUGGACAGUUCCUGACGCUGAGGCACGAAGGUCAGGGGAGCAAACGGG